rnacentral:tRNA from 1 species
GUGGGUAUAACUCAGUCGGUUAGAGUGCCAGAAUGUGGCUCUGGAAACAUGGGUUCGAAUCCCAUUACUCGCC